rnacentral:rRNA from 1 species
GACGUAGGUGGCGAACGUUAUCCGGAAUUAUUGGGCGUAAAGGGUGCGUAGGCGGUCUGACAAGUCUGAUGUGAAAUCUAUGGGCUCAACCCAUAGUCUGCAUCGGAAACUGUCGGGCUGGAGUAUGGGAGAGGUGAGUGGAAUUUCCGGUGUAGCGGUGAAAUGCGUAGAUAUCGGAAGGAACACCUGUGGCGAAAGCGGCUCACUGGACCAUUACUGACGCUGAUGCACGAAAGCUAGGGGAGCAAACAGG